rnacentral:rRNA from 2 species
GGACUACUGGGGUAUCUAAUCCUGUUUGCUCCCCACGCUUUCGUGACUCAGUGUCAGUGCUGGUCCAGGUAGCCGCCUUCGCCACUGGUGUUCCUCCCGAUCUCUACGCAUUUCACCGCUACACCGGGAAUUCCACUACCCUCUACCGCACUCUAGCUUCCCAGUAUCCACUGCAAUUCCCAGGUUGAGCCCGGGGCUUUCACAGCAGACUUAAGAAACCACCUACUCACGCUUUACGCCCAGUAAUUCCGAGUAACGCUUGCACCCUUCGUAUUACCGCGGCUGCUGGCAC